rnacentral:rRNA from 1 species
AUAAACUUGAGAGUUUGAUCAUGGCUCAGAACGAACGCUGGCGGCAUGCCUAACACAUGCAAGUCGAACGAGUGCCUUCGGGUGCUAGUGGCGCACGGGUGCGUAA